GGAUAUGAGGGUGAUCUGGUUAUGACAUCUGUCAUCCAGGUUGAUUUGGCUGGCCCAGCAGGUACCCCCAACUUUCCUCAUCUUUCCAUAUUUAUCCCUCUUAAAGUUGCACACCUGGUUGAUGAUGGCCUCCCUCAAAUAAAAGUUGAAAUUUCUUUCAUUAGAUAUACGAGCAGCUGCUCUCCCCUGCUAGAAACCCCAAACAAGCUCUCACAGAAUCAUUCCUAAUAUUGUUCACCAUAUGUAUCGCCAAGACUUAAACCAUGGUCAGCUGUCCACAUGGUGUGUGUAAGCCCCUGGAC
rnacentral:snRNA from 1 species